AGGGAAUUUUCCACAAUGGGCGAAAGCCUGAUGGAGCAACGCCGCGUGAGGGAUGAAGCAUUUCGGUGUGUAAACCUCUUUGGAGCGGGAAGAAUGCCGUUUGGGUGAACAGUCCAGACGGGUGACGGUACCGCUAGAACAAGACACGGCUAACUUCGUGCCAGCAGCCGCGGUAAUACGAAGGUGUCAAACGUUGUCCGGAAUUAUUGGGCGUAAAGGGCGCGUAGGCGGCCAGGUAAGUGAGAUGUGAAAGCUCUGGGCUCAACCCAGGAAUUGCAUUUCAUACUGCUUGGCUUGAGUUCGGUAGAGGAGGGCGGAAUUCCAGAAGUAGCGGUGAAAUGCGUAGAUCUCUGGAGGAACACCCGUGGCGAAGGCGGCUCUCUGGUCCGAUACUGACGCUGAGGCGCGAAAGGUAGGGGAGCAAAC
rnacentral:rRNA from 1 species